AACGAACGCUGGCGGCAGGCCUAACACAUGCAAGUCGAACGCCCUCUUCGGAGGGAGUGGCAGACGGGUGAGUAACGCGUGGGAAUCUACCCAGUACUUCGGAAUAACACAGAGAAAUUUGUGCUAAUACCGGAUACGCCCUUCGGGGGAAAGAUUUAUCGGUAUUGGAUGAGCCCGCGUUUGAUUAGCUAGUUGGUGAGGUAAUGGCUCACCAAGGCGACGAUCAAUAGCUGGUCUGAGAGGAUGAUCAGCCACACUGGGACUGAGACACGGCCCAGACUCCUACGGGAGGCAGCAGUGGGGAAUAUUGGACAAUGGGCGCAAGCCUGAUCCAGCCAUGCCGCGUGUGUGAUGACGGCCUUAGGGUUGUAAAGCACUUUCAACGGUGAAGAUAAUGACGGUAACCGUAGAAGAAGCCCCGGCUAACUUCG
rnacentral:rRNA from 1 species